UGGAUGAAAAUGAUGAUUUAGUGGUAGCAAUCUGAUUACUACAUAGUUUCAGAUAUAGCUUAAUAUCUCAUUCCCUGUGAAGCAUUAGUUUAUGUUCAUGUCAAAAUAUUGUAAACAAUUACUUUUUACCUAUGUACAUAAGCAGUGCUCAGAAAGCAUCAUGUUGAAAUUAAGUAGUCACAAGAACUAUUUUAAGAAAUAAGGUAGAGUUACAUGGAAUUUUUUUUAAUUUUAAAUGGGAGGUAGAGUGGAGAUAGGAUUCAAACUUAUGAACACCAAUUUUGAUGCUAUGAUAAACUACCAGUUGUCCCAAAAGCUUAAAUUGAUAGGAAAUAUUUCCUAAGCUAAACAUUAUUGUAACAAUUAUAAUGUAGAGUUUGUCCUGACUAAACCAGGUAACUCACCUUUUACACAAAAGCCACCAAUAUUGUCUCUUAAAUCUAUGAAGUUGCUGCAUCAACAGUCAGUGGAGGGCUUGUGAUUUUGUGCAAUAGAGUGGAGAAAAAAAGGAAUGUUACCUCCCGCAUGCUAAAGAUCUAUCUUUGUGUCAUCAACAAGCAUUUUGAUGUUUGAGGCUAAGAUAUAUCACAUUCUUGAUCUGAAUCAUUUUCUCAAGUCAUUAAGGACAUUAUGAUCCUCAGGUGGAUAUCAGAGAAUAUGGAUCUGUUACUGAUAAUCAACUUGCUACAUCAUUUCUCUUUAAGGAACAAGAUCUAUGAAUCUAUCAUAAUGAACAUUUUAGCUCAGAAUUUAUCUAGCAUUACUUAGGUGACCUGACUAAGCAACUGUCAGAAUCUUUCACACCUGAUAAUGCCAUCAGGUUUAGUCCAUGAACAAUUCGACAACAAUUUAAUGGUUUCCAUUCCAAGGAACCACUUUCCUUCUUUGGUGGAGUGCCAGGAGUGAGGUGGUCUGGUUUAAAACUCCAAGAGUUCCCAACAAAUUCACUAUUUGAGGAUGAUGCAACAAGUGAAACAUCCAUUGCUGACCUCUCGCUUCAUUCCCAAUAUGCCAUCUUCUCCAUCUGUGCCCCAUGUUAUCAGCAAUGGGUAGCUUUUGGAAACGGCAUGCAGACAUUUACGUCAAUUGUUGGAACAGAUGGUGGCAUGGUGCAACCAGUUGCUCUAACUUCAUUUUUACUUGCCCAGAGGAAUUUUCAUUUGUUAUCAGUGUUUUACAAUUCCCUGCUUUACAAGAAAUGUGGAUUACCAAAGAAGCAAAGUGUUAAAUGGCUGACGUAGUUCUGUGUGUACAUGUUCAACACCUCACCAAAUUUGACUCAAAUUUGGUGAUUUUUUUUAUCAAUAGGCUGAGAAGAGCACCUGUAUAUAUAACCAGCCAUGUAUAGUUCUUUAAAAGACACAACUUUGGUCUUUUGUAAACCAGGUUUAGAGAAUUUGAAAAUUCUUGUGGUGUGCUAGUUGUGGUGAGGGAGAGUUCUUUGGGUGUAAAUGGGACUUGGGUUUUGUGAGAGUGUUGUUAUGUCAAUUUUGUAAUCUCCUUAUUUUUUUAGUGAAAAUUUCUUCUGGAUGCUGCUCGUGGAUGUAGGCCUA